rnacentral:rRNA from 1 species
GACGAACGCUGGCGGCGUGCUUAACACAUGCAAGUCGAACGGAAAGGCCCUGCUUUUGUGGGGUGCUCGAGUGGCGAACGGGUGAGUAACACGUGAGUAACCUGCCCUUGACUUUGGGAUAACUUCAGGAAACUGGGGCUAAUACCGGAUAGGAGCUCCUGCUGCAUGGUGGGGGUUGGAAAGUUUCGGCGGUUGGGGAUGGACUCGCGGCUUAUCAGCUUGUUGGUGGGGUAGUGGCUUACCAAGGCUUUGACGGGUAGCCGGCCUGAGAGGGUGACCGGCCACAUUGGGACUGAGAUACGGACAAGACUCCUACGGGAGGCAGAAGUGGGGAAUAUUGCACAAUGGGCGGAAGCCUGAUGCAGCAACGCCGCGUGCGGGAUGACGGCCUUCGGGUUGUAAACCGCUUUCGCCUGUGACGAAGCGUGAGUGACGGUAAUGGGUAAAGAAGCACCGGCUAACUACGUG